UACGGGGGGGGCAAGCGUUGUUCGGAUUUACUGGGCGUAAAGCGCGCGUAGGCGGAACUUCAAGUCCGGUCUGAAAGCCCCCGGCUCAACCGGGGAGGGUGGCUGGAAACUGGGGUUCUUGAGGGAUGCAGAGGAGAUUGGAAUUCCCGGUGUAGCGGUGAAAUGUGUAGAGAUCGGGAGGAACACCGGUGGCGAAGGCGGGUCUCUGGGCAUCUCCUGACGCUGAGGCGCGAAAGCGUGGGGAGCAAACGGG
rnacentral:rRNA from 1 species